AAGGAAGAUAUAUAUGCAUAAUGUAUUAUGU
rnacentral:piRNA from 1 species